rnacentral:tRNA from 1 species
GGAAGGAUGACAGAGCGGUAAUGUGUCCCCUUGCUAAGGGGCAGCCAGGGUAAAACCUGCCCAGGUUCGAAUCCUGGUCCUUCCGCCA